AUGUUCUACUCCCACUCCGUCCUGGCUCGGAAGAGCCCGCUGGGCACGGUGUGGAUCGCCGCGCACCUCGAGCGCAAGGUCAACCGGACGCAGAUCGACGGCGUCGACGUCCCCUCCUACGCCGCGUCCAUCAUGGACCCCGAGGUGCCCAUCGCGCUCCGGCUGUCGGGGCAUCUCCUCCUCGGGCUCGUCCGCAUCUACUCGUGGAAGGUGAACCACCUGUUCCAGGACUGCAACCGGAUGCUGAGCGCGGUCAGGACCGCCUUCGCCUCCAUGGAGGCGAUAGAUCUGCCGGUUGAUGCGGACCGUGCUCCGUUCGAGGUAAUCACCCUGCCGGAGACCUUCAGCCUGGAUGACUUGAGCCUUGAUGAUGCGAUUCGUCAGAUGGAUACGCCGGAUCGUCAUCGGCGGACCUCUGAUCAGAUCACCUUGUCUGGAGAAGGGUAUGUGAUGAUCACCCUUGAUGAGGAUGGUGGAGCAGAGUUCACGUCUCCUGCUGGUCGAUCUUCAGGAUUUGAGCCUGUACAGCAUGAGCAGGAGACAUUCCCUCCGUUUCUAGAGGAUAUUAUUUCUGUAGAUCCUCCUCCCCAUGGCAGUUUUUCAGUGACCCACCAAGAUACACCAGAAAUAUUGCGUCGAGCUUCUGAGAGUGCGUCAAGGUUUGAAGAUGUUAUUGAUGGCGGUGACCCCAUGGAUGAAGAUCCGUCGCCGUUCAUAGAGAAGGUUACCACGUCACCAGCAAUGCUCUCACCUGUAUCCCCUGUGCUUCGGACAUCCAUUCCCAAUGCUCCGACACGUAUCAGCCAUGAGCGUGUUGAAGAAGAUGAAGAACCAGCAGGUGACGCUGGACUCUUGGCACCUGUAGCAUUUGUCCUUGAACCAUCUCCACCACCUCAAGUACAAGGUAACAGGAGAAGGAGAAGGGCGAAUGUACAGGAGAACAGGAGAAGGCCUGCAAUUGAUGAGGAAAUUGUGCUCUCCAAUGAUUAUAUGAGUAAUCAAAUUGAUGGCAUUGAACUAGGUAGGCUGGCUCGCAGGAGGAAGAUACUGCCCCAUACAGCAGUGGAUGUGUGGAGGUUCAACAGGAUAAGCCAAAAGGACAGCCUCUUCUCUGAACCUCUGGUGCAAGGAAUGUGCAGUGAUCUUCAUAAAGCUUAUGAGGGGAACUACCCUCGUGUGAGUGACUCUGAUGCUGAUGCUGUAAACAUUGGUGACGAAGAUGCACCUGCACCUGACGGGAAUGCUCAGCCUGCUGAUGUUGUGAAUGUUUGUGACAAGGAGCAGAGUCACUCAAUGUCUCUAGUAAAUGGAGAGGCAACACCAUUUGAUUCGCCACCUGAGCUCCCUCGCUUCUCUCCACGAAAGGAUCUAUCUCCAGUAAGAGAAGAAGAUCACACCCCUUUUGAAACCCCUGGUCGAAGUGGAACCCCGCGGUCUGGACUUGGAGGAACUGGUGUUACUGUACCACUAACACAUUGCAGUUAUGCAUCACUUGGAAAAAAUACUGUUGAAUCUGAUUUCCCAUUCGGUACUGACGAUCUUGACGAAGAUCUACCGGGGUUUCCUGGGCUCAUGAAUACCCCUAGCAUGAUAUCCAGUGCGGGUACCAGCACCACAGGAUUAGGCAGCAUCAUGUCUACCAGGACAAGGGCUGCCGCCCAGUACUUCAAAGGUAUGAUGUCUUCAGCCACGUCAGAAGACCAGCCAGGGAAAUUCAGUUUAAACAGAAUCUUGGACGGGAGGACAAAGAAGCAAGCUGCAAGCAUGUUCUUUGAAACAUUGGCCCUGAAGAGCUAUGAUUAUAUCGAUGUCCAUCAGGAAGAAGCGUAUGGCGAUAUUUCAGUUUCGGUUAGACCGUCACUCUCGAGCGCUAAACUUUGA
rnacentral:rRNA from 1 species